rnacentral:rRNA from 1 species
AUUGAACGCUGGCGGAAUGCUUUACACAUGCAAGUCGAACGGCAGCACGGACUUCGGUCUGGUGGCGAGUGGCGAACGGGUGAGUAAUACAUCGGAACGUGCCCAGUCGUGGGGGAUAACGUAGCGAAAGCUACGCUAAUACCGCACACGAUCUAAGGAUGAAAGCGGGGGAUCGCAAGACCUCGCGCGAUUGGAGCGGCCGAUGGCAGAUUAGGUAGUUGGUGGGGUAAAGGCUCACCAAGCCGACGAUCUGUAGCUGGUCUGAGAGGACGACCAGCCACACUGGGACUGAGACACGGCCCAGACUCCUACGGGAGGCAGCAGUGGGGAAUUUUGGACAAUGGGCGCAAGCCUGAUCCAGCCAUUCCGCGUGCAGGAUGGAGGCCCUCGGGUUGUAAACUGCUUUUGUACGGAACGAAAAGGCUCUGGUUAAUACCCGGGGCUCAUGACGGUACCGUAAGAAUAAGCACCGGCUAACUACGUGCCAGCCGCCGCUGUAA